UCGCGAUUAGGGCGUCUUCUUAGCACAUUCCCUAUGCUGCGUCUUUUCAUCUAGCUAGGGAACAGUUGCGUUGGGUGCCGCAACAGACCCGUAGUGGUCAGAGCCCCUUUUUGUUGUGACAGGGUCUCCUUGUUGUGACAGGGUCUCCUUGUUGUGACAGCAGCUUGGAGUCUUGGCAUGCCCAAGGCUUGGUGUCGGAGCGCGUGGAGAGGCGGAAGUGAAUCUAAGGACCGGGGUCCCUCCACCUCGGCCAAGGAAGAAACCAGGCGGAUUGAAUGAAAGAGCAGGAAGGAUGGAGAUCAGACCUGUGAAAGGCUCCUGACCUUCACGAAAUGUGGGAGGCUUGAUCUGUUGUUUUCUUCUCAAUGGCCCCUGUACAAGGAAAAAACAGCACCUAUAACUGGAGACAGUAUAUAUGGAGAAGCAGAGAAUGGAGGAAGAAAAGGGAAAAGAGGAAAGGGAGCCAGGGGAAACAUUCACUUAGGAUAUGGAUGGAUUUAGUGUCAUUGAAGGAUUUGUGUCACAAGGAAAGAAGAUAAAAGGAGCUGUGAUAUCCAACUAAAAGAAAACUGAAGGACAACUGCCGACGAGUUUUUCUGGGUGGGGGGAGGACUUUCCAGAGGAGGGGGACCUUUUAUUUCCUAGUCUCAUGGAGAAUAGAGCAAGAGGCAGAAACAGUGUAAGACUCCAGUGGUAGAGAUGUAGGGUAUUUUCUAGGAAAGAUUCCUUGACUUGUUCAGGGAUUAAAACAUACAGGGAAGAAGGCAGGGUAACUUCUGCCCUGGAGAACCCUCAAUGGAGAAGCCAUUCCCAUUUGUUCAGACUAGAUGUGUUGGUUGUAGAAGGGUAGAAGAGUAAAUGUUAAGAUUCAUGAAAUCCUAGAUGAGAGGGAAGGCAAAGGAGGGAAGGGAAAACUUUGAAAGUCAUGAAGGGAAUGGUUUAGUGGAAAGAAGAUUCAAAAUCAUUUUUGAUUUUCACUGAUCCCAACCUUUUGACAGCAGGUUUAAUGAUUUCCCUCUGGCACACAGAGGCUCAGGCAGGUAUGGUGCCUGUGGAUAAUCUUCCCUAUUUCCUCCUUUUCCUCAAUUCCCAAGAACCUGAAAAUCUGUCCUCCUUCUAGCUCUGGGUCCUAGGGGGUAGGGGAUGGGGGAAAUAGAGAGGUAUUUGCAUCUAUAGAGUCUGUACCUGGAGGGGAAAGAGGCAGAGUUUCUAAGAAGCAAGUGGUAACUUCACAGACCCACCUCUGGAAUGGCCCUGUCAGUGACUCUGGUGAUUGGUUUUGACAAUUAAAUGAAUAGAGGAGCAAAGGGGUAAUGCUAGUGAUUAAAGCAAGA